rfam:Pristionchus pacificus strain PS312 contig9980, whole genome shotgun sequence.
GCAGCCCCGCUCUGGAUGUGUGAUCUUGGUCGUAUCCGCGCAAAUGCUCAAUGAUUAUGACUAGAGACACAUUCAGCUUGGGGCCGGC